rnacentral:rRNA from 1 species
UGUGCCUUCGGGAACCGUGAGACAGGUGCUGCAUGGCUGUCGUCAGCUCGUGUUGUGAAAUGUUGGGUUAAGUCCCGCAACGAGCGCAACCCUUAUCCUUUGUUGCCAGCGGUCCGGCCGGGAACUCAAAGGAGACUGCCAGUGAUAAACUGGAGGAAGGUGGGGAUGACGUCAAGUCAUCAUGGCCCUUACGACCAGGGCUACACACGUGCUACAAUGGCGCAUACAAAGAGAAGCGACCUCGCGAGAGCAAGCGGACCUCAUAAAGUGCGUCGUAGUCCGGAUUGGAGUCUGCAACUCGACUCCAUGAAGUCGGAAUCGCUAGUAAUCGUGGAUCAGAAUGCCACGGUGAAUACGUUCCCGGGCCUUGUACACACCGCCCGUCACACCAUGGGAGUGGGUUGCAAAAGAAGUAGGUAGCUUAACCUUCGGGAGGGCGCUUACCACUUUGUGAUUCAUGACUGGGGUGAAGUCGUAACAAGGUAACCGUAGGGGAACCUGCGGUUGGAUCACCUCCUUA